GACAGAGGAUGCAAGCGUUAUCCGGAAUGAUUGGGCGUAAAGCGUCUGUAGGCGGCUUAGCAAGUCGGGCGUGAAAGCCCUCGGCUCAACCGAGGAAGUGCACCCGAAACUGCUGAGCUUGAGUGCCGGAGAGGAUGGCGGAAUUCCCCAAGUAGAGGUGAAAUUCGUAGAUAUGGGGAGGAACACCGGUGGCGAAGGCGGCCAUCUGGACGGUAACUGACGCUGAGACGCGAAAGCGUGGGUAGCAAACAGG
rnacentral:rRNA from 1 species